UUGCCUAAUGUCACAUAUACUAAAAUUGGAACGAUACAGAGAAGAUUAGCGUGGCCUCUGCGCAAGGAUGACAUGCAAAUUCGUCACGUCUAAACUUGCUGA
rfam:Chelonia mydas contig174761, whole genome shotgun sequence.